CAAGUAGGCCGCAAUNGUUGUUCGGAUUUACUUGGGCUAUAAAGGGUUCGCAGGCGGACCAAUAAGUCAGAGGUGAAAGCCAACGGCUCAACCGUUGAAUUGCCUCUGAUACUGUUGGCCUUGAGUCCGUUAGGGGAUAGUGGAAUUCCUGGUGUAGCGGUGAAAUGCGUAAAUAUCAGGAGGAACACCAGUGGCGAAGGCGGCUAUCUGGGACGGAACUGACGCUGAGGAACGAAAGCAUGGGUAUCGAGCGGGAUUAGAUACCCCGGUAGUCCAUGCUGUAAACGAUGGGCACUAGGUGUUGGAGGACUCUACCCCUUCAGUGCCGAAGCUAACGCAUUAAGUGCCCCACCUGGGGAGUACGAUCGCAAGGUUGAAACUCAAAGGAAUUGACGGGGGCCCGCACAAGCGGUGGAGCAUGUGGUUUAAUUCGAUGCAACGCGAAGAACCUUACCUGGACUUGACAUGCAGGAGACAGCCGUAGAGAUACGGUUUCCUUCGGGUUCCUGCACAGGUGCUGCAUGGCUGUCGUCAGCUCGUGUCGUGAAAUGUUGGGUUAAGUCCCGCAACGAGCGCAACCCUUGUCCUUAGUUGCCAUCAGGUAAUGCUGGGAACUCUAAGGAGACUGCCGGUGUCAACCGGAGGAAGGUGGGGAUGACGUCAAGUCCUCAUGGCCCUUACGUCCAGGGCUACACACGUGCUACAA
rnacentral:rRNA from 1 species